CCUGUAGGAAUCGGCCAGGUCUACGGCUGCGACAACCCCUGGACCGGAGGCAUUUUCCUCAUAGCUCUGUUCAUCUCGUCCCCUCUCAUUUGCUUGCACGCUGCGAUCGGCUCCACCGUGGGGAUGUUAGCAGCCCUCACUAUAGCGACGCCCUUGGAUUCCAUCUACUUCGGCCUGUGUGGCUUCAACAGCACGCUGGCCUGCAUCGCCGUAGGGGGCAUGUUCUAUGUCCUGACCUGGCAGACGCAUGUCCUGGCCAUCGCCUGCGCACUGUUUGCGGCCUACCUGGGCGCCGCCCUGGCUAACGUGCUGUCUGUGGU